ensembl:snRNA U2 U2 spliceosomal RNA
AUCGCUUCUCGGCCUUUUGGCUAAGAUCAAGUGUAGUAUCUGUUCUUAUCAGUUUAAUAUCUGAUACGUCCCCUACCCGGGGACCAUAUAUUAAAUUGAUUUUUGGAUCAGGGAGCCGGAACGGGGGCUUGCUCCUUCCACUCCACGCAUCGACCCAGUAUUGCAUUACCUCCAGGUACGGUGCACAUUCU